rnacentral:rRNA from 1 species
AGAGUUUGAUCCUGGCUCAGGAUGAACGCUAGCGGCAGGCCUAACACAUGCAAGUCGAGCGGGAUUAGUUUAUAGCUUGCUAUAUACUAUGAGAGCGGCGCACGGGUGAGUAACGCGUAUGCAAUCUGCCUCAUACAGGGGGAUAGCCCGGAGAAAUUCGGAUUAAUACCCCAUGGUACUUUAGUUUCGCAUGGGAUUAAAGUUAAAGAUUUAUCGGUAUGAGAUGAGCAUGCGUCCUAUUAGCUAGUUGGAGAGGUAACGGCUCCCCAAGGCGACGAUAGGUAGGGGUUCUGAGAGGAUGAUCCCCCACACUGGUACUGAGACACGGACCAGACUCCUACGGGAGGCAGCAGUGAGGAAUAUUGGUCAAUGGACGAAAGUCUGAACCAGCCAUGCCGCGUGCAGGAUGACUGCCCUAUGGGUUGUAAACUGCUUUUAUUCGGGAAUAAACCUCUUUACGUGUAGAGAGCUGAA